GACGAACGCUGGCGGCGUGCUUAACACAUGCAAGUCGAACGGAAAGGCCCUGCUUUUGUUGGGUGCUCGAGUGGCGAACGGGUGAGUAACACGUGAGUAACCUGCCCUUGACUUUGGGAUAACUUCAGGAAACUGGGGCUAAUACCGGAUAGGAGCUCCUGCUGCAUGGUGGGGGUUGGAAAGUUUCGGCGGUUGGGGAUGGACUCGCGGCUUAUCAGCUUGUUGGUGGGGUAGUGGCUUACCAAGGCUUUGACGGGUAGCCCGCCUGAGAGGGUGACCGGGCACAUUGGGACUGAGAUACGGCCCAGACUCCUACGGGAGGCAGCAGGCGGGAGUAUUGCACAGCGGGCGGGCGCCAGAUGCAGCGACGCCGGGUGCGGGAUGACGGCCUUCGGGUGGUAAACCGCUGUCGAAUGUGACGAAGCGUGAGUGACGGUAACGGGUAAAGAAGCACCGGCUAACUACGUG
rnacentral:rRNA from 1 species